GAUGAACGCUGGCGGCGUGCCUAAUACAUGCAAGUCGCGCGAAUGGAUUAAGAGCUUGCUCUUAUGAAGUUAGCGGCGGACGGGUGAGUAACACGUGGGUAACCUGCCCAUAAGACUGGGAUAACUCCGGGAAACCGGGGCUAAGACCGGAUAACAUUUUGAACCGCAUGGUUCGAAAUUGAAAGGCGGCUUCGGCUGUCAAUUAUGGAUGGACUCGCGUCGCAUUAGUUAGUUGGUGGGGUAACGGCUCACCAAGGCAACGAUGCGUAGCCGACCUGAGAGGGUGAUCGGCCACACUGGGACUGGGACACGGCCCAGACUCCUACGGGAGGCAGCAGUAGGGAAUCUUCCGCAAUGGACGAAAGUCUGACGGAGCAACGCCGCGUGAGUGAUGAAGGCUUUCGGGUCGUAAAACUCUGUUGUUAGGGAAGAACAAGUGCUAGUUGAAUAAGCUGACACCUUGACGGUACCUAACCAGAAAGCCACGGCUAACUACGUGCCAGCCGCCGCAGUAA
rnacentral:rRNA from 1 species